rnacentral:rRNA from 1 species
CCUACGGGAGGCAGCAGUGGGGAAUAUUGCGCAAUGGGCGAAAGCCUGACGCAGCGACGCCGCGUGAGGGAUGAAGGUCUUCGGAUCGUAAACCUCUGUCAGCAGGGAAGAACGGUCACUGUGCUAAUCAGCAGUGAAUUGACGGUACCUGCACAGGAAGCACCGGCUAACUCCGUGCCAGCAGCCGCGGUAAUACGGAGGGUGCGGGCGUUAAUCGGAAUUACUGGGCGUAAAGCGCUCGUAGGCGGGAUGUCAAGUCAAGGGGGAAAUCCCCGCGCUCAACGGGGGAACUGCCUUUGAAACUGGCAAACUGGAGUGUGUGAGAGGAUAGUGGAAUUCCAGGGGUAGGAGUGAAAUCCGUAGAUAUCUGGAGGAACAUCAGUGGCGAAGGCGACUAUCUGGCACAUAACUGACGCUGAGGAGCGAAAGCGUGGGUAGCAAACAGGAUUAGAUACCCUAGUAGUC